rnacentral:rRNA from 1 species
CAGUCGCCGCGGGAAUACGGAGGGUGCAAGCGUUAAUCGGAAUUACUGGGCGUAAAGCGCACGCAGGCGGUCUGACAAGUCAGAUGUGAAAUCCCCGGGCUCAACCUUGGAACUGCAUCCAAAACUGGCAAGCUAGAGUAUGGUAGAGGGUGGUGGAAUUUCCUGUGUAGCGGUGAAAUGCGUAGAUAUAGGAAGGAACACCAGUGGCGAAGGCGACCACCUGGACUGAUACUGACACUGAGGUGCGAAAGCGUGGGGAGCAAACAGGAUUAGAUACCCCAGUAGUCCCUGUCUCUUAUAC